CCUACGUGGAGCAGCAGUGGGGAAUAUUUCACCAUGGGGGCAACCCUGAUGCAGCCACGCCGCGUGAUUGAAGAAGUAAUUCGUUACGUAAAGCUCUAUCAGCAGGGAAGAAAAUGACGGUACCUGAGUAAUAAGCCCCGGCUAACUACGUGCCCGCAGCCGCCGUACUACGUAGGGGGCAAGCGUUAUCCGGAUUUACGGGGUGUACAGGGAGCGUAGUCGGUUCGCCAAGUCAGGAGUGAAAUGCUGCAGCUGAACGGCGAAACUGCUUUUGAAACCGGCGAUCGAGAGUGCGGGAGGGGUAAGCGGAAUGCCUAGUGUAGCGGUGAAAUGAGUAGAUAUUAGGAGGAAAACCGGUGGCGAAGGCGUCUUACUGGACCGUAACUGACGUUGAGGCGCGAAAGCGUGGGGAGCAAACAGGAUUAGAGACCCUUGUAGUC
rnacentral:rRNA from 1 species